UACGUAGGUGGCAAGCGUUAUCCGGAAUUAUUGGGCGUAAAGAGCUCGUAGGCGGUUUGUUGCGUCGGCUGUGAAAACCUGAGGCUCAACCUCAGGCCUGCAGUCGAUACGAGCAGACUAGAGUGUUGCAGGGGAGACUGGAAUUCCUGGUGUAGCGGUGAAAUGCGCAGAUAUCAGGAGGAACACCGGUGGCGAAGGCGGGUCUCUGGGCAACAACUGACGCUGAGGAGCGAAAGCGUGGGGAGCGAACAGG
rnacentral:rRNA from 1 species